rnacentral:rRNA from 1 species
AGAGUUUGAUCCUGGCUCAGGAUGAACGCUGGCGGCGUGCCUAAUACAUGCAAGUCGAGCGAACGGACGAGAAGCUUGCUUCUCUGAUGUUAGCGGCGGACGGGUGAGUAACACGUGGAUAACCUACCUAUAAGACUGGGAUAACUUCGGGAAACCGGAGCUAAUACCGGAUAAUAUUUUGAACCGCAUGGUUCAAAAGUGAAAGACGGUCUUGCUGUCACUUAUAGAUGGAUCCGCGCUGCAUUAGCUAGUUGGUAAGGUAACGGCUUACCAAGGCAACGAUGCAUAGCCGACCUGAGAGGGUGAUCGGCCACACUGGAACUGAGACACGGUCCAGACUCCUACGGGAGGCAGCAGUAGGGAAUCUUCCGCAAUGGGCGAAAGCCUGACGGAGCAACGCCGCGUGAGUGAUGAAGGUCUUCGGAUCGUAAAACUCUGUUAUUAGGGAAGAACAUAUGUGUAAGUAACUGUGCACAUCUUGACGGUACCUAAUCAGAAAGCCACGGCUAACUACGUGCCAGCAGCCGCGGUAAUACGUAGGUGGCAAGCGUUAUCCGGAAUUAUUGGGCGUAAAGCGCGCGUAGGCGGUUUUUUAAGUCUGAUGUGAAAGCCCACGGCUCAACCGUGGAGGGUCAUUGGAAACUGGAAAACUUGAGUGCAGAAGAGGAAAGUGGAAUUCCAUGUGUAGCGGUGAAAUGCGCAGAGAUAUGGAGGAACACCAGUGGCGAAGGCGACUUUCUGGUCUGUAACUGACGCUGAUGUGCGAAAGCGUGGGGAUCAAACAGGAUUAGAUACCCUGGUAGUCCACGCCGUAAACGAUGAGUGCUAAGUGUUAGGGGGUUUCCGCCCCUUAGUGCUGCAGCUAACGCAUUAAGCACUCCGCCUGGGGAGUACGACCGCAAGGUUGAAACUCAAAUGAAUUGACGGGGGCCCGCACAAGCGGUGGAGCAUGUGGUUUAAUUCGAUGCAACGCGAAGAACCUUACCAAAUCUUGACAUCCUUUGACAACUCUAGAGAUAGAGCUUUCCCCUUCGGGGGACAAAGUGACAGGUGGUGCAUGGUUGUCGUCAGCUCGUGUCGUGAGAUGUUGGGUUAAGUCCCGCAACGAGCGCAACCCUUAAGCUUAGUUGCCAUCAUUAAGUUGGGCACUCUAAGUUGACUGCCGGUGACAAACCGGAGGAAGGUGGGGAUGACGUCAAAUCAUCAUGCCCCUUAUGAUUUGGGCUACACACGUGCUACAAUGGACAAUACAAAGGGCAGCGAAACCGCGAGGUCAAGCAAAUCCCAUAAAGUUGUUCUCAGUUCGGAUUGUAGUCUGCAACUCGACUACAUGAAGCUGGAAUCGCUAGUAAUCGUAGAUCAGCAUGCUACGGUGAAUACGUUCCCGGGCCUUGUACACACCGCCCGUCACACCACGAGAGUUUGUAACACCCGAAGCCGGUGGAGUAACCUUUUAGGAGCUAGCCGUCGAAGGUGGGACAAAUGAUUGGGGUGAAGUCGUAACAAGGUAGCCGUAUCGGAAGGUGCGGCUG